CCCUUCCAGUCCUAGAAUCUAUGAAUCUAUGAAUCUUUUCUAGCAACCAGAAGCAGCUGAUAUUGUCUCCUCAGUUGGCAACUGCAAUUGUCAGGUUUGCUUUUUAUAGCGGUCCCAAGAAUGGUACAUCUUUUCAGAGAGAAAUAUAGGCUAGUUCAUUUCCCCACAUAACAUCUGAAUAAUGCAAACAUAGUCCAAGAAAUCAAAAGGCUUCUAACUAUAGCGAACAGAAACAACACUAAAGAGGUAUUAUAACUACGCAGUUUCUUUUUCUGCUGCUGCAGUGAUGAUCAUGAUGGAGGGUAUUGUCUUAGCUGGCUUCUUUCUCUUGUAAGCAGCAGCACUGAAAAUCUCACAAGAAGGGCAUUUACUUUGGACACUGACAGGUUCUAAGACCCUAGAAAGAGAAAUAGAGAUUUAUCCUAACUCUCCUUUAUAGUAGUUCCUGGGACCUUGCAAUGGAAAUGAGAUUAUUUCUGCUAAUUCUCCAGAGCAGGUCCACAACAGCUCUUGGAUAUGAUCCAUUCCACCUGGUAUCACAGUCUGAGCCAUGCUGGAGAACAUGAGAGAAAGAAGGAGGUGCAUCUUUCCAGUGACAGUGUCUGAGGAGUCUCGGAGCAGACAUAAUGACUCCAGGUCUUUGCUGCCCAUGGAAAAGAAGUGGAGCUACCAUGAGAAAGGCUGUUCCAAUAUUACGUUAAAAUAUUGAUGUUAAUACUAUUUGCUAAAUGUCCAAGAUCCUACUAUAUAUCUACAGUAAUACCCAGAGCCAUUAUGCCAAUUUCUUCUGACACUGCAUAUAUUUUAUAUAUAGGCCAGCGGUUCUCAACCCACGGCCCACGGGCCACUUGAGGCCCAAUCAGCACACAGCUGCGGCACAUGUGACAUCCUGGGGCCAUACAGGUAAUAUAUAUAGUGUGUGUGUGUGGAUGCGGCCCACAUAACACAUAGAGAGAUGCAUAUGUGGCCCACAAUGGUAAAUAGGUUGAGAACCACUGAUACAGGCCCAUGUGGCAUAUGUAACAAACUUCUCUGUGACACGGAGUGCUUUUUGCAAACAUCUCUCACCUCAGACUUGACAAACUCACUACACAAAACAUAUUUUCAGGAUAUUUAUCCAUGGGUAAGGAACCUAGUGAAAGCUUGCAACAUGUCAAGAUUCAUAUUCAUUGCAAGUGAUAUAUGUACAGGUAAUAUUUAAAGAAUAACAUAUUUAUAUUGAAAGUAUGCUUUAUGGACUUGGAAUAGAAAUUAGUCACCAGGAGAUAAUGUGUCUCAGUGAUGAUCCGUUUCAGCAAGGGAGAGUUGUCAUCCUGCCAUGUUUGCACAAUGAUGUAAUGCAAGGCUCAGUUGUUUACCCCCUGCACAAUACUAAGACUUGGAAUGGGAAAACAUCCAAGGCAUGGACAAACAAGCAAAACCACUUAAAGGUACAAAAAGAAACUUUACAACAAGACAGGGGUUUGCCCUGACUGUGAAUAGAAACAAAAGGCUGUUUUCAGUACAGCACAGAGAAGGGAGAAGCAUUCCAUAUCCAUUCACUGAGGGAAACCCCUUGUAGAGCAUUUGGAUCCUGGUUCUUCAAAAACUAGGCAGUUCGGCAAUAGACUGACCUACAGAGGGGAGAGGGACUACUUCAUUAGACAGCAAAAGUAACUACUGAUAAAAGUAGUCCCUAGUUGGUAUUUUAUGAUUUU